AAGAAAAAGAGAAAGAAGAAAAAGAGAGAAGAAAGAGAAAGAGAAAGGAAAAGUUCUCCCUCCACGUUUCCCUUUUUUUCUUUUGUUUUUCGUU
rnacentral:ribozyme from 1 species